rnacentral:misc_RNA from 1 species
AACUCCUUCAGAGGAUUGAAGGUGCUUAUUUUUCUUUUCAUUUUUUCCUAUUUUAUAUGUGUGUGUGUGUAUAUUAUUUGCUUAUUUACUUGUUACUUUUGGAGUUAGUAUCUGGGAAUUUAAUUAAAAGAGUAAUGUUUGGUAAUGUGUAAUAUUCCCGUUCUUUCUUGCAAACCAUAAUACUAAAUAUGGGUCUCAAGAGUCAGGGCAUCAAUUUAUUAUACGUGUCAGGGAUAAAGUUGUGAUUGCAUUUAAAUUUAUGGCAU